rnacentral:rRNA from 1 species
CGGCGACGGGUGAGUAACACGUGGAUAACCUACCUAUAAGACUGGGAUAACUUCGGGAAACCGGAGCUAAUACCGGAUAACAUGUUGAACCGCAUGGUUCAACAGUGAAAGACGGUCUUGCUGUCACUUAUAGAUGGAUCCGCGCCGCAUUAGCUAGUUGGUAAGGUAACGGCUUACCAAGGCAACGAUGCGUAGCCGACCUGAGAGGGUGAUCGGCCACACUGGAACUGAGACACGGUCCAG